rnacentral:ncRNA from 1 species
UAUGUCCAGGGGCAAACUUCACCGAAAGGGAGGGACGCAAAGCCACGGGCCUACAGUGGGUAACCGCUAAGGUAGCCGGGCUGCGACA